GUGCCAGCAGCCGCGGUAAGACGUAGGGGGCCAGCGUUGCUCGGAAUUACUGGGCGUAAAGGGUUCGUAGGCGGUGCGGCAAGUCGGAAGUGAAAUCUCCAGGCUUAACUUGGAGGCUGCUUCUGAAACUGCCGUGCUGGAGUGCGGGAGAGGCCAGUGGAAUUGCAGGUGUAGCGGUGAAAUGCGUAGAUAUCUGCAGGAACACCCGUGGCGAAGGCGGCUGGCUGGACCGCAACUGACGCUGAGGAACGAAAGCUAGGGGAGCAAACAGGAUUAGAAACCCGGGUAGUCC
rnacentral:rRNA from 1 species